rnacentral:rRNA from 1 species
AGAGUUUGAUCCUGGCUCAGAAUCAACGCUGGCGGCGCGCUUAACACAUGCAAGUCGAACGAGAAAGCCCCGCAAGGGGUGAGUAAAGUGGCGUACGGGUGAGUAACACGUGGGUAAUCUACCUUUUGGUGGGGAAUAACCCUGGGAAACCGGGGCUAAUACCGCAUAAGCUCGAAAGAGGAAAGGAGCAAUUCGCCGAAAGAGGAGCCCGCGGCUGAUUAGCUAGUUGGUGAGGUAAAGGCUCACCAAGGCUAUGAUCGGUAGCCGGCCUGAGAGGGCACACGGCCACACUGGCACUGAAACACGGGCCAGACUCCUACGGGAGGCAGCAGUGGGGAAUCUUGCACAAUGGGGGAAACCCUGAUGCAGCGACGCCGCGUGAGCGAUGAAGCCCUUCGGGGUGUAAAGCUCUUUCGGCAGGGACGAUAAUGACGGUACCCGAAGAAGAAGCUGCGGCUAACUACGUGCCAGCAGCCGCGGUAAUACGUAGGCAGCGAGCGUUGUUCGGAGUUACUGGGCGUAAAGAGUGCGUAGGCGGUUUUCUAAGUUUGGUGUGAAAUCUCCCGGCUUAACUGGGAGGGUGCGCCGAAGACUGGAAGGCUAGAGUAUGGGAGAGGUAAGCGGAAUUCCUGGUGUAGCGGUGAAAUGCGUAGAUAUCAGGAGGAACACCUGCGGUGUAGACGGCUUACUGGACCAUAACUGACGCUGAGGCACGAAAGCGUGGGUAGCAAACAGGAUUAGAUACCCUAGUAGUCC